AUUGAACGCUGGCGGCAGGCCUAACACAUGCAAGUCGAACGAGUGGCGGACGGGUGAGUAAUGUCUGGGAAACUGCCCGAUGGAGGGGGAUAACUACUGGAAACGGUAGCUAAUACCGCAUACCAUCGGAUGUGCCCAGAUGGGAUUAGCUUGUAGGGGAGGUAACGGCUCACCUAGGCGACGAUCCCUAGCUGGUCUGAGAGGAUGACCGGGCACCAUGGAUAUGAGCAACGGUCCAGACGCGUACGGGAGGCAGUAGUGGGGAAUAUUGCGCAAUGUGCGGAAGCGUGAUGCAGCCAGGCCGGGUGUAUGAAGAAGGCCUUCGGGUUGUAAAGUACUUUCAGCGGGGAGGCGUUACCCGCAGAAGAAGCACCGGCUAACUCCGUGCCAGCAGCCGCGGUAUUC
rnacentral:rRNA from 1 species